UGGGGAAUUUUGGACAAUGGGCGAAAGCCUGAUCCAGCAAUGCCGCGUGUGUGAAGAAGGCCUUCGGGUUGUAAAGCACUUUUGUCCGGAAAGAAAUCCUUGGCUCUAAUACAGUCGGGGGAUGACGGUACCGAAAGAAUAAGCACCGGCUAACUACGUGCCAGCAGCCGCGGUAAUACGUAGGGUGCAAGCGUUAAUCGGAAUUACUGGGCGUAAAGCGUGCGCAGGCGGUUUGCUAAGACCGAUGUGAAAUCCCCGGGCUCAACCUGGGAACUGCAUUGGUGACUGGCAGGCUAGAGUAUGGCAGAGGGGGGUAGAAUUCCACGUGUAGCAGUGAAAUGCGUAGAGAUGUGGAGGAAUACCGAUGGCGAAGGCAGCCCCCUGGGCCAAUACUGACGCUCAUGCACGAAAGCGUGGGGAGCAAACAGGAUUAGAUACCCUGGUAGUCCACGCCCUAAACGAUGUCAACUAGUUGUUGGGGAUUCAUUUCCUUAGUAACGUAGCUAACGCGUGAAGUUGACCGCCUGGGGAGUACGGUCGCAAGAUUAAAACUUAAAUGAAUUGACGGGGUCAUA
rnacentral:rRNA from 1 species